rnacentral:piRNA from 1 species
UGACUUUUUUAGCCUUUUAUU